GCCUAGGUGGCUCAGUUGGUUGAGCAUCUGACUUGGGCUCAGGUCAUGAUCUCUCAGUUCGUGAGUUCGAGCCCCGCGUUGGGCU
rnacentral:tRNA from 1 species